GACGAACGCUGGCGGCGUGCUUAACACAUGCCAGUCGAACGGAAAGGCCCUGCUUUUGUGGGGUGCUCGAGUGGCGAACGGGUGAGUAACACGUGAGUAACCUGCCCCUGACUUUGGGAUAACUUCAGGAAACUGGGGCUAAUACCGGAUAGGAGCUCCUGCUGCAUGGUGGGGGUUGGAAAGUUUCGGCGGUUGGGGAUGGACUCGCGGCUUAUCAGCUUGUUGGUGGGGUAGUGGCUUACCAAGGCUUUGACGGGUAGCCGGCCUGGGAGGGUAACCGGCCACAUUGGGACUGAGAUACGGCCCAGACUCCUACGGGAGGCAGCAGUGGAGAAUAUUGCACAGUGGGCGGAAGCCUGAUGCAGCAACGCCGCGUGCGGGAUGACGGCCUUCGGGUUGUAAACCGCUUUCGCCUGUGACGAAGCGUGAGUGACGGUAAUGGGUAAAGAAGCACCGGCUAACUACGUG
rnacentral:rRNA from 1 species